rnacentral:rRNA from 1 species
AUGAUACAGCACAUGGACGGCACUCCACACGACGGACUCGAGAUCCCAACUCCCAGGCGGCUCUUGGUGCUCUUUGAAAGGCGCAUCACCGUACAAGGCUUUGGUCGGUCACUCCCCGUAGAAGGCCUUCUCGAAGCACUGCAGGUACUCUGGCUCGAGCGCGAACAGCACGGACACGCCGUCGUCCUUGUCGGGCGCCUGCGUGACGUAGGCCGUGCCGCUGCCGAACAUCUGCGCCGGCGCGACGAACUUGGGGCAGCCCCAGCCGAAGUCGGCGUCGUGGAUGGGCAUGCCCAGCCAGCUCACCACCCACAGGUCCGUCUCCGGCAUGAACUGCCCGCGCGCCGCCUGGCUGCCCUUCUCCGACUCCACCUCCAGGUAGUCGAUGACGGAGCGCACGAAGGCGUCGUCCACCCGCGCCACCGCGCGCUUGAUCCGCUCCGCCACGAACCCCAGCGGCUGCGACAGCACGUCCCCCACGCGCACCGUCACCAGGUCCCGCACGAUGGCGUUGCCGAAGUAGUUGGCCGGCAGCGGCGGGCGCAGGCGCUGCCGGAUGUUGGCCGGCACGCGCAGCCGCGACUCGGCGUCGGGGGCCAGCCCGCGGGCCACGCACAUGGCGCGCCACAGGUGCGCGGUCAGCGCGCAGUAGGUGGACACGCCGGGCGCGCAGCUGGACUUGAUGCCGGCGAGGAGCUUGGGGGACACGGCGUAGACGCGGGUGACGAAGGGGCGGGGCAGGCCGUUGAGGUUGCUCGGGGAGUAGACCGGGUGCUCGAAGGUGGCGUGCGGGGGGGAGCGCGCGCGCAGCACCGUGCGGUCGUGCACCGGCGGGGUCGGGUGCACGGACGCGGCGUCCAGCCCGCGCGCCAGGGUCGUCCACGUCCGGAUGAACUGGAUCGCGCCCGCGCCGUCCAUGGUCACGUGGUGCAUGCCCGUGCCCACGGCCACGCCGCCGCACUUGAGGAACGUCACCUGCAAGACCAAACCCACGGGUUACAUUUUGCGUCCAGUAUAAUAACCGUAAGACAUGGCACGAUCAUUGAUAUCCUUGUUCCCAUUCACGUCAUCGAUCUCUUUGUUCCUCUGCUCAAACACCGUGCAGCCGCCCAGCUCUGA